GAGCGGCGGACGGGUGAGUAAUGCCUAGGAAAUUGCCCUGAUGUGGGGGAUAACCAUUGGAAACGAUGGCUAAUACCGCAUAAUGCCUACGGGCCAAAGAGGGGGACCUUCGGGCCUCUCGCGUCAGGAUAUGCCUAGGUGGGAUUAGCUAGUUGGUGAGGUAAUGGCUCACCAAGGCGACGAUCCCUAGCUGGUCUGAGAGGAUGAUCAGCCACACUGGAACUGAGACACGGUCCAGACUCCUACGGGAGGCAGCAGUGGGGAAUAUUGCACAAUGGGCGCAAGCCUGAUGCAGCCAUGCCGCGUGUGUGAAGAAGGCCUUCGGGUUGUAAAGCACUUUCAGUCGUGAGGAAGGUUGUGUAGUUAAUAGCUGCAUUAUUUGACGUUAGCGACAGAAGAAGCACCGGCUAACUCCGUGCCAGCAGCCGCGGUAAUACGGAGGGUGCGAGCGUUAAUCGGAAUUACUGGGCGUAAAGCGCAUGCAGGUGGUUUGUUAAGUCAGAUGUGAAAGCCCGGGGCUCAACCUCGGAAUAGCAUUUGAAACUGGCAGACUAGAGUACUGUAGAGGGGGGUAGAAUUUUCAGGUGUAGCGGUGAAAUGCGUAGAGAUCUGAAGGAAUACCGGUGGCGAAGGCGGCCCCCUGGACAGAUACUGACACUCAGAUGCGAAAGCGUGGGGAGCAAACAGGAUUAGAUACCCUGGUAGUCCACGCCGUAAACGAUGUCUACUUGGAGGUUGUGGCCUUGAGCCGUGGCUUUCGGAGCUAACGCGUUAAGUAGACCGCCUGGGGAGUACGGUCGCAAGAUUAAAACUCAAAUGAAUUGACGGGGGCCCGCACAAGCGGUGGAGCAUGUGGUUUAAUUCGAUGCAACGCGAAGAACCUUACCUACUCUUGACAUCCAGAGAACUUUCCAGAGAUGGAUUGGUGCCUUCGGGAACUCUGAGACAGGUGCUGCAUGGCUGUCGUCAGCUCGUGUUGUGAAAUGUUGGGUUAAGUCCCGCAACGAGCGCAACCCUUAUCCUUGUUUGCCAGCGAGUAAUGUCGGGAACUCCAGGGAGACUGCCGGUGAUAAACCGGAGGAAGGUGGGGACGACGUCAAGUCAUCAUGGCCCUUACGAGUAGGGCUACACACGUGCUACAAUGGCGCAUACAGAGGGCAGCAAGCUAGCGAUAGUGAGCGAAUCCCAAAAAGUGCGUCGUAGUCCGGAUUGGAGUCUGCAACUCGACUCCAUGAAGUCGGAAUCGCUAGUAAUCGUGGAUCAGAAUGCCACGGUGAAUACGUUCCCGGGCCUUGUACACACCGCCCGUCACACCAUGGGAGUGGG
rnacentral:rRNA from 1 species